AACGAACGCUGGCGGCAGGCUUAACACAUGCAAGUCGAGCGCUCCGCAAGGGGAGCGGCAGACGGGUGAGUAACGCGUGGGAAUCUACCCAGUUCUACGGAAUAACCCAGGGAAACUUGGGCUAAUACCGUAUACGCCCUACGGGGGAAAGAUUUAUCGGAAUUGGAUGAGCCCGCGUUGGAUUAGCUAGUUGGUGGGGUAAUGGCCUACCAAGGCGACGAUCCAUAGCUGGUCUGAGAGGAUGAUCAGCCACACUGGGACUGAGACACGGCCCAGACUCCUACGGGAGGCAGCAGUGGGGAAUAUUGGACAAUGGGCGCAAGCCUGAUCCAGCCAUGCCGCGUGAGUGAUGAAGGCCUUAGGGUUGUAAAGCUCUUUCAGUGGGGACGAUAAUGACGGUACCCACAGAAGAAGCCCCGGCUAACUUCGUGCCAGCCGCCGCCGUAAGAC
rnacentral:rRNA from 1 species